UCAACUUUCGAUGGUAGGAUAGAGGCCUAUCAUGGUGGUAACGGGUAACGGGGUGUUAGGGCACGACACCGGAGAGGGAGCCUGAGAAACGGCUACCACAUCCAAGGAUGGCAGCAGGCGCGCAAAUUACCCAAUCCCGACACGGGGAGGUAGUGACAAUAAAUAACAAUACGGGGUUCUUUUGGAUCUCGUAAUUGGAAUGAGUACAAUUUAAAUCUCUUAACGAUCAACAAUUGGAGGGCAAGUCUGGUGCCAGCAGCCGCGGUAAUUCCAGCUCCAAUAGCGUAUAUUAAAGUUGUUGCAGUUAAAAAGCUCGUAGUUGAAUUUCGGGGUUAGUAGGUUGGUCAUGCCUCUGGUAUGUACUGAUCUCACUGAUUCCUCCCUCUUGACGAACUGUAAUGUCAUUAAUUUGGUGUUGCAGGAAAUCAGGACUGUUACUUUGAAAAAAUUAGAGUGUUUAAAGCAGGCUUAGGCUUGAAUACAUUAGCAUGGAAUAAUGAAAUAGGACGUUUGAACCUAUUUUGUUGGUUUCUAGGAUCGACGUAAUGAUUAAUAGGGAUAGUUGGGGGCAUUAGUAUUCAAUUGUCAGAGGUGAAAUUCUUGGAUUUAUUGAAGACUAACUACUGCGAAAGCAUUUGCCAAGGAUGUUUUCAUUAAUCAAGAACGAAAGUUAGGGGAUCGAAGACGAUCAGAUACCGUCGUAGUCUUAACCAUAAACUAUGCCGACUAGGGAUCGGAUGAUGUUAAUUUUUUAAUGACUCAUUCGGCGCCUUACGGGAAACCAAAGUGUUUGGGUU
rnacentral:rRNA from 1 species